rnacentral:lncRNA from 1 species
UAUACACACCAAAAUUAAAAUUCAACCUCUUCUAGGAAUUUAAAAUGCAAAAGUGUAAGAAGAAAUCUAGGUUUCCUCCUAGUAGUGCUUGUUUAACGUCGCGAGCCUGACCCAAACCUGGUUGGCACUUGUCAGUAAGUGCACUUCCUUCCAACACCCAUCAGUAGGUGUGCCUUCUUGGAAUCCAUCAGUGGAUUUAAAAUUUUUUUAGCAUCCCUCAGUAGAUGUUAAUCAUUACUGCCAUCAGAAGCAGCGCAUAACCCAAAAAUAAAAUAAAAUAAAAUAAAAUAAAAUAAAAUAAAAAAUAUAAAAAAAUAAAAUAAUAUAAAAAAAAUUGAAAAAUAAAAAUAAAAUAAAAUAAAAUAAAGUAAAAUAAAAU